UACGUAGGGUGCGAGCGUUAAUCGGAAUUACUGGGCGUAAAGCGUGCGCAGGCGGUUCGGUAAGAAAGAUGUGAAAUCCCAGAGCUUAACUUUGGAACUGCAUUUUUAACUGCCGAGCUAGAGUAUGUCAGAGGGGGGUAGAAUUCCACGUGUAGCAGUGAAAUGCGUAGAGAUGUGGAGGAAUACCGAUGGCGAAGGCAGCCCCCUGGGAUAAUACUGACGCUCAUGCACGAAAGCGUGGGGAGCAAACAGG
rnacentral:rRNA from 1 species